CGUUGGCGACGUUGUGCGCGCCCGGCUUGGGGCUUGCAUCGCGUCGCUAAGACACAGCAGUCCGGUUUCAUCUAUGUAUCUUAGGGGUACGUCAGAUAACACGGAAAUCUGUCGCCACAACACCCCUGAAAUAGCUCGCGACUCCCGCCGAGCCAAAGGACUUGUGUCAUUGGGAACCCCCCAUGGCAACAACAACAUUGGCGACAACACGCAUAAACUUUCUACGUAGAAACAGGAAAGAAGACGAUCGCAACUUCGUGGAACGACGGCUACAACGGGUUGUCGAUCUUCACGAGCAGGCUAUCAGUUUUGCACUGUAAAAAUCAAUCUUCGUAACUGGUGCACUGACAUUUGACUAAACUGGUUUUAUUGAGAUAAUGAACGAUAAAAUCUUGUCCUUGGCCGUGAUUAAUUCUUGAAAGUAAUCUCAAGGAAUCACAGUGGCAUUGCGGAUUCUAUGCCCAAAAUGGAAGCGACGAUUGGAAAAAGGAUAUAGCAACCGAAUUUCACUAAACGGCUGAAGUUUUCUGGAUGUAACUGUGAAAAAGGUCCCAUUUGGCCCAGGGCAAGCAUCUUCAUCAUCAACUGCCAACAGAUUUGUAAGCCCCAUUUAUUAUCACUCUCGAAACUGACAAUUCCAGCAACACAUUUUUCCGCCUGUGAAAAAUGGCGAGGAGAAAAAAAAAUCAAACGAAAGAAGUCGCUAACAGAUCGCGCUUCCCGGGAUUGUAAGUGAUGGUUGUACACUGGAGCAGAAAGAAAAAGAAUUAGUCCGGCGAGAAAUUCGAAAAUGUAUUUCAAAACGUCACCCUCUGCCCCAAAAUGUCUCGGCAUUCCCGUCGUGCAGAGGCACAUGCAUGACACAGGUAUGCUUUGUAAGAUUGCUAUAGAAAAAAAGAAUUUCAAAAAGAAAUUCAAAACGAGACAUUUGACCGUUGAAGCUUCAAGUACAUCCUUUUCACUGUAAACACAUUCGUUGCAUACAUGUGCUAUGCUGUUCGAGCCUUUUUUGCAUUGCGUAGUGUCAAGUUUCGGGAAAAAGAAAAGAGAGAAAUCCAAGUUGAUUAAAAAACUACCACUCAACCUGCCUCACAAUCCUCGUGUUAUUUUUUCCGAAGGAUAUGAAGAAGAGUAGAUGUAGCGAAUGAAACGGAGACUGCUAAAGCCUACUUCAUCUCAUGCUGCGUUUAUGUGAUACAGCACUAUUCACUAUUACUACAAGCACUAAAGCACAUUCUGGGCGCCGAUUUCCUAUUCUUGUAUUGUUUAGUUUUUCUUUGGGUGGGAGUGAAGUUUUGGCAGCUGUACAUCAACGUGAAGUUUCUACCGCGCUCCCUCCCCCUCUCCAUCUAAAUUAACAUUUCUCUUCUUUAUGCACGUCUCUCUUGUUGAAUUGAACUUAUUUCAGCAAUUUAUUUUUUUUUUUUAUUUUCCAUGUACUUUCCAGCGGCUUUUCUUAUGCUAACUAUUGAUAUGUGUUAACAGGCUUGGCUGUAAGAAAGGAAACUACGAAGAGCAGGCGCGUGCUCUUAGGAGGGAAAUGGGCCAACACGAAAUUCAAAUUGGAUGCGUUAUCGCCCCUGGUAUUGUAACAACCAAUCACGAUCUGUUUUAAUUCUUUAGAGCUAUACAUGUUUUCAAAUUAUUUUGGUUUUUUCUUUCACCUUCGGUUGUUGGUAUCCCUCACCCCUGUUCUUUGUAGAUCCUGAGAAUUGAUGAAACGUUCCUGGCAAAGAACAGUUAAAAAAAAAAACACAUGCCCUUUUCUUCUUGUUAAAAAUUUCGCCAAGUAAAUUCUAUUGUAUGCCAUAGCCUAUAUUGGCAUACAAAAGAAAAGGUUUGGAAUGGGAUAGGCAAGGCGAGUAUACAUAAUGUGAUGCCUAUGCGCACAGUUCCACUCGAUAGCUGCUUUCCAAAUUCAAUUCAUUUACUGUGGCUGUUUUUCACUUUCAUUUUCGUCUGUGUCGCCAAUAGCGUAGAAUUUAUUUCCCACUAUUCCUUGGUCUUUUCAUCAUAGAAAGCUAUGUGAUUAUUUCACCUCAGUUGUAAAAAAGGGUACUAUGUCGGUUGCUCAUUACAGGGCGAUCAAGAACAAAGCAUCGCAGCUCUUUCCCAUUUUACGUAUCCUCUUUGAUCGAAAGAAAUUGUUUGGUGUCAACGCCAGAGUUCAUCAACAAGACAAGUGUGGAGUACGGAAUCGAUUGCAACGAAAAAAAUGGAAAGAGGGGUUCGCACCUUAAAAGCUAGAGGGAAAUUAAAAGACAGCGGGACAAUUAUUAAUCAUGUUGACGGGAAACGUGGGAGGUUUCUUUUCGGAAAGGUCGGGAAUAAUCCAAGGCUUUAGAUUUGGGAAACCUCGGUGCGCAGGCUUCCCUGGCGUGGUGAUGUCUGUUCGGGCCAUUAGCUCGCAAUGACGAGGACACUGGGACAAUGUCUGACGUGUCACAUGGAUGGAGCUCAAUAGCGUUUCAGUCGGUCCCUCCUCUUUCGGUUGUUUUCUCGUCAUCCCUAUAAAUCAUGCGAUCAACAGCGUCAGCGCAUCAACUGCAAAAGGGGGAAAAAGAUGGAAUGUAAGGAGGGUAUUUAAUGAAUCUUACAGGGAGGAUUGGUGGGACAGAAUAUAACGUAAAGCUAUUUAGAAAAGUCGCGCUCUGCGAUUGAGUCCAUGUAUUUUUCUCAGUUGUUGCGUGUUUGUUCUACAAUUAUCCGUGUAAUUUAAACAAACUGACAUUGAACAGUUCGUGAGAUAUGGCAUCGAAUACUUCCUACAUAAAUAUGACACUUUGCAAGCCCUUUAACAUACUCAGUUUUGUAAGCGCUUUCCCCUCCUGUUUUAUAAAAAAAAAAAAAAAGACUGCGGAUGUUCAAAAACGUUAAUGACUAUUUUGAGGGGCCUGAAAAGGGGAGCCAUUUUUUCGAAUUGGCAACGCUGUUUUUGACGUCUGCAGUGCAUCCUAUCAUAGAAUCGUAUUGUGCCACGUAUUUUCCUUUUAGGACACAUAACUCUUGACAGAUCGUUGAUACUCACAUACCAAGGAUUUAAAGAAAAUGAUUACGGAUAUUCAGUUGGCUAUCUUUUCGAACGUUUUGGGAGUAUCACUUUUCCUAAUGGUGAUACUCUAUCACUAUAUCUCAGCUAAUAAUCCAAAAUCUACCUCUUCAUAAUCAUUCUCCAUAGAU